UACGAAGGGUGCGAGCGUUACUCGGAAUUACUGGGCGUAAAGGGUGCGUAGGUGGUUUGUUAAAUCUGCUGUGAAAUCCCCGGGCUCAACCUGGGAAUGGCAGUGGAUACUGGCAAGCUAGAGUGCGGUAGAGGGUAGUGGAAUUCCCGGUGUAGCAGUGAAAUGCGUAGAGAUCGGGAGGAACACCAGUGGCGAAGGCGGCUACCUGGACCAGCACUGACACUGAAGCACGAAAGCGUGGGGAGCAAACAGG
rnacentral:rRNA from 1 species